UACAGAGGUCUCAAGCGUUGUUCGGAUUCAUUGGGCGUAAAGGGUGCGUAGGUGGCGCGCUAAGUCAGGUGUGAAAUUUCGGAGCUUAACUCCGAAACUGCAUUUGAUACUGGCGUGCUUGAGGACUGGAGAGGAGACUGGAAUUCACGGUGUAGCAGUGAAAUGCGUAGAGAUCUUGAGGAAGACCAGUGGCGAAGGCGGGUCUCUGGACAGUUCCUGACACUGAGGCACGAAGGCCAGGGGAGCAAACGGG
rnacentral:rRNA from 1 species